rnacentral:rRNA from 1 species
AUUGAACGCUGGCGGCAGGCCUAACACAUGCAAGUCGAACGGUAACAGGAAACAGCUUGCUGUUUCGCUGACGAGUGGCGGACGGGUGAGUAAUGUCUGGGAAACUGCCUGAUGGAGGGGGAUAACUACUGGAAACGGUAGCUGAUACCGCAUAACGUCGCAAGACCAAAGAGGGGGACCCUCGGGCCUCUUGCCAUCGGAUGUGCCCAGAUGGGAUUAGCUUGUUGGUGGGGUAACGGCUCACCAAGGCGACGAUCCCUAGCUGGUCUGAGAGGAUGACCAGCCACACUGGAACUGAGACACGGUCCAGACUCCUACGGGAGGCAGCAGUGGGGAAUAUUGCACAAUGGGCGCAAGCCUGAUGCAGCCAUGCCGCGUGUAUGAAGAAGGCCUUCGGGUUGUAAAGUACUUUCAGCGGGGAGGAAGGGAGUAAAGUUAAUACCUUUGCUCAUUGACGUUACCCGCAGAAGAAGCACCGGCUAACUCCGUG